UACGGGGGGGGUAAGCGUUGUUCGGAAUUACUGGGCGUAAAGGGCUCGUAGGCGGCCAACUAAGUCAUACGUGAAAUCCCUCAGCUUAACUGGGGAACUGCGUGUGAUACUGGAUGGCUUGAAUCCGGGGAGAGGGAUGCGGAAUUCCAGGUGUAGCGGUGAAAUGCGUAGAUAUCUGGAGGAACACCGGUGGCGAAGGCGGCAUCCUGGACCGGCAUUGACGCUGAGGAGCGAAAGCCAGGGGAGCAAACGGG
rnacentral:rRNA from 1 species